rnacentral:rRNA from 1 species
UACAGAGGUCUCAAGCGUUGUUCGGAUUCAUUGGGCGUAAAGGGUGCGUAGGUGGUGAUGCAAGUCUGGUGUGAAAUCUCGGAGCUCAACUCCGAAAUUGCACCGGAUACUGCGUGACUCGAGGACUGUAGAGGAGAUCGGAAUUCACGGUGUAGCAGUGAAAUGCGUAGAUAUCGUGAGGAAGACCAGUUGCGAAGGCGGAUCUCUGGUCUGUAACUGACGCUGAGGCGCGAAAGCGUGGGGAGCAAACAGG